rnacentral:rRNA from 1 species
GACGAACGCUGGCGGCGUGCUUAACACAUGCAAGUCGAGCGGAGCGGCGAACGGGUGAGUAACGCGUGAGUAACUGCCCCCCUCUCUGGGAUAACAGUUGGAAACGGCUGCUAAUACCGGAUAGUGGGGGAUGAUUCGCGUCCUAUCAGCUUGUUGGUGGGGUAGUGGCCUACCAAGGCGACGACGGGUUGCCGGCCGGAGAGGGCGACCGGCCACAUUGGGCUGAGGAAGGGGCGAAAAGCGCACGGGGGGAAGGAGUGGGGAAUAUUGCACAAUGGGGCAAACGCUGAGGGAGCAACGCCGCGUGCGGGAUGACGGCCUUCGGGUUGUAAACCGCGUUCAGCGAUGACGCGGUAGUGGCAGAAGAAGCACCGGCUAACUACGUGCCAGCAGCCGCGGUAAUAC